AUACAGAGGGUGCAAACGUUGUUCGGAAUUACUGGGCAUAAAGCGCACGUAGGCGGCUUGGUAAGUGUGAAGUGAAAGCCCACGGCUCAACCGUGGAACAGCUUUGCAAACUGCCUGGCUAGAGGACGGUAGGGGAGAGCGGAACUCCUGGUGGAGCGGUGAAAUGCGUAGAUAUCAGGAGGAACACCGGUGGCGAAGGCGGCUCUCUGGUCCGUUUCUGACGCUGAGGUGCGAAAGCCAGGGUAGCGAACGGGAUUAGAUACCCCAGUAGUCC
rnacentral:rRNA from 1 species